GCCGGCGUAGCGCAAUGGUAGCGCGUUGCUUUCCUAUGCUCCGAAAUAUGUCGAGUAAGGCAAAGGCUGUGGGUUCGAAUCCCACCGUCGGUU
rnacentral:tRNA from 1 species